rnacentral:rRNA from 1 species
AUUGAACGCUGGCGGCAUGCCUUACACAUGCAAGUCGAACGGCAGCACGGGUGCUUGCACCUGGUGGCGAGUGGCGAACGGGUGAGUAAUGUAUCGGAACGUGUCCUGUCGUGGGGGAUAGCCCGGUGAAAACCGGAUUAAUACCGCCUACGAUCGAGAGAUGAAAGUGGGGGACCGCAAGGCCUCCCGCGCUAGGAGCGGCCGAUAUCUGAUUAGCUAGUUGGUGGGGUAAAGGCCCACCAAGGCCUCGAUCAGUAGCUGGUCUGAGAGGAUGAUCAGCCACACUGGGACUGAGACACGGCCCAGACUCCUACGGGAGGCAGCAGUGGGGAAUUUUGGACAAUGGGGGCAACCCUGAUCCAGCCAUUCCGCGUGAGUGAAGAAGGCCUUCGGGUUGUAAAGCUCUUUUGUCCGGGAAGAGACGGUUUUGGCGAAUAACCAAGACUACUGACGGUACCGGAAGAAUUAGGACCGGCUAACUACGUGCCAGCCGCCGCCGUAAAAC